GACGAACGCUGGCGGCGUGCUUAACACAUGCAAGUCGAACGGAAAGGCCCUGCUUUUGUGGGGUGCUCGAGUGGCGAACGGGUGAGUAACACGUGAGUAACCUGCCCUUGACUUUGGGAUAACUUCAGGAAACUGGGGCUAAUACCGGAUAGGAGCUCCUGCUGCAUGGUGGGGGUUGGAAAGUUUCGGCGGUUGGGGAUGGACUCGCGGCUUAUCAGCUUGUUGGUGGGGUAGUGGCUUACCAAGGCUUUGACGGGUAGCCGGCCUGAGAGGGUGACCGGCCACAUUGGGACUGAGAUACGGCCCAGACUCCUACGGGAGGCAGCAGUGGGGAAUAUUGCACAAUGGGCGGAAGCCUGAUGCAGCAACGCCGCGUGCGGGAUGACGGCCUUCGGGUUGUAAACCGCUUUCGCCUGUGACGAAGCGUGAGUGACGGUAAUGGGUAAAGAAGCACCGGCUAACUACGUGCCAGCAGCCGCGGUGAUACGUAGGGUGCGAGCGUUGUCCGGAUUUAUUGGGCGUAAAGGGCUCGUAGGUGGUUGAUCGCGUCGGAAGUGUAAUCUUGGGGCUUAACCCUGAGCGUGCUUUCGAUACGGGUUGACUUGAGGAAGGUAGGGGAGAAUGGAAUUCCUGGUGGAGCGGUGGAAUGCGCAGAUAUCAGGAGGAACACCAGUGGCGAAGGCGGUUCUCUGGGCCUUUCCUGACGCUGAGGAGCGAAAGCGUGGGGAGCGAACAGGCUUAGAUACCCUGGUAGUCCACGCUGUAAACGGUGGGUACUAGGUGUGGGGUCCAUUCCACGGGUUCCGUGCCGUAGCUAACGCUUUAAGUACCCCGCCUGGGGAGUACGGCCGCAAGGCUAAAGCUCAAAGGAAUUGACGGGGCCCCGCACAAGCGGCGGAGCAUGCGGAUUAAUUCGAUGCAACGCGUAGAACCUUACCUGGGUUUGACAUGGAUCGGGAGUGCUCAGAGAUGGGUGUGCCUCUUUUGGGGUCGGUUCACAGGUGGUGCAUGGCUGUCGUCAGCUCGUGUCGUGAGAUGUUGGGUUAAGUCCCGCAACGAGCGCAACCCUUGUUCACUGUUGCCAGCACGUUAUGGUGGGGACUCAGUGGAGACCGCCGGGGUCAACUCGGAGGAAGGUGGGGAUGACGUCAAGUCAUCAUGCCCCUUAUGUCCAGGGCUUCACGCAUGCUACAAUGGCUGGUACAGAGAGUGGCGAGCCUGUGAGGGUGAGCGAAUCUCGGAAAGCCGGUCUCAGUUCGGAUUGGGGUCUGCAACUCGACCUCAUGAAGUCGGAGUCGCUAGUAAUCGCAGAUCAGCAACGCUGCGGUGAAUACGUUCCCGGG
rnacentral:rRNA from 1 species